rnacentral:rRNA from 1 species
GAGUUUGAUCUUGGCUCAGAUUGAACGCUGGCGGCAUGCCUUACACAUGCAAGUCGAACGGCAGCACGGGAGCUUGCUCCUGGUGGCGAGUGGCGAACGGGUGAGUAAUGCAUCGGAACGUAUCCUGGAGUGGGGGAUAACGUAGCGAAAGUUACGCUAAUACCGCAUAUUCUGUGAGCAGGAAAGCGGGGGACCUUCGGGCCUCGCGCUCUUGGAGCGGCCGAUGUCGGAUUAGCUAGUUGGUGAGGUAAAGGCUCACCAAGGCGACGAUCCGUAGCAGGUCUGAGAGGAUGAUCUGCCACACUGGAACUGAGACACGGUCCAGACUCCUACGGGAGGCAGCAGUGGGAAUUUUGGACAGUGGGGGCAACCCUGAUCCAGCCAUGCCGCGUGAGUGAAGAAGGCCUC